GACGAACGCUGGCGGCGUGCUUAACACAUGCCAGUCGAGCGGAAAGGCCCUGCUUUUGUGGGGUGCUCGAGUGGCGAACGGGUGAGUAACACGUGAGUAACCUGCCCUUGACUUUGGGAUAACUUCAGGAAACUGGGGCUAAUACCGGAUAGGAGCUCCUGCUGCAUGGUGGGGGUUGGAAAGUUUCGGCGGUUGGGGAUGGACUCGCGGCUUAUCAGCUUGUUGGUGGGGUAGUGGCUUACCAAGGCUUUGACGGGUAGCCGGCCUGAGAGGGUGACCGGCCACAUUGGGACUGAGAUACGGCCCAGACUCCUACGGGAGGCAGCAGUGGGGAAUAUUGCACAAUGGGCGGAAGCCUGAUGCAGCAACGCCGCGUGCGGGAUGACGGCCUUCGGGUUGUAAACCGCUUUCGCCUGUGACGAAGCGCGAGUGACGGUAAUGGGUAAAGAAGCACCGGCUAACUACGUG
rnacentral:rRNA from 1 species